GAGUUUAACACUUUAUGACUGAGAUCUGUCCUUCAUGAGAACUGAACCCACAACAACCAUGACUUUUAUAACCAUCUUCAUCUGGACACUUGUCCUCUUUUUCAAAGAAUCCAGAGGACAGUACAUUGUGACUCAGUCACCUGCAGUUCAAUCUGUUACAACAGGAAAUUCAGUUACUAUAAACUGUAAAGUCAGCAGUAAUGUGUAUGGCAACAAUUAUCUACACUGGUACCAAGAGAAACCUGGAGGAGCUCCUAAACUCCUAAUUUACUUGGCUAACACACUUCAGUCUGGGAUUCCAUCUAGAUUCAGUGGCAGUGGAUCUGGGAGUGACUUCACUCUGACCAUCAGUGGAGUCCAGGCUGAAGAUGCAGGAGAUUACUACUGUCAGAGUUUUCACUAUCCCAACAGUGUACAUGUGGCCACUUUUGGUGGCGGCACCAGACUUGAUGUUGGAAGUAACACUGCUCCCACCCUGACCAUCCUGCCCCCCUCUAGUGAGGAACUGUCCAGUACAACAACAGCCACACUGAUGUGUCUGGCCAACAAGGGCUUCCCCUCAGACUGGACCUUGAGUUGGAAAGUGGACAGGAACAACAAGAAUCAGAAGUCCAGUUCCGUGGUCCUGGAGAAGGAUGGUCUAUACAGCUGGAGCAGCACCCUGACUCUCACUGCCCAGGAGUGGAACAAGGUGGGAGAGGUGACCUGUGAAGCCCAGAAAAGCUCCCAGACUCCAGUCAUCAAGACCUUGAGGAGGGGUGACUGUUCUGGUUAGGACCUGUCUGUCACAUAACCCAGUGAAGAGGUUCUUUUGCUUUUACUCUGUUUUGACAUCUAAUGUUUUGUCUUAUUGAUCACUUUCAUGUAGACUAACAGUGAGCUUUGCAUGAGUUCAUGUGUCCAUCCUCUCUGUAGAUGGACAUUUGAUAGAUAUGAUAUGGUCUGCUCAUACUAUUAUAACACACAUUUGCUUUAUGCAUUGAUGAAAAUAAAGAUUUCCCUUUGUAGAAAA